GGGUGGGGGAAGAAGGGAGGGACAGAGCGUGGAGGGCGGAGUCAAGGAGCAAGAGUCUCGCUAACGUGGUACUCUAAGCGGCACCUUAUUGGGUAUGAUCGCGGCAAGGAGGGAGAGCGCGUGCGCUGCUCCAGCUCCCGACCAACCCGCCGAAAGGGAGACUUACCCUCGGAGCCAAUAGAGGAGCGGCGUCAGAUGACGACGGAGGAGUGCGUGCCGGUAGGGAAGGACGUAGAGAUCUACGGCAGGGAUUGGUCCAAUAUGUGUAAGGCGGGGAGAACUUUUGGAGAUUAAGCGCAGUACAAAACAAGUGAUGCAGAGGGUCAGAAAACUCGACGAGAACUCCUUUGGUACUCGGUUCCAGAGUUCCCCUUGACACUCAUCCGUUGUUCACGGUUGUCAGUCAGGUUAGCCCUUGGCUUAGAGAAUAGUGAUGGACAGUGGCCUUUGUAGUAUAAGACUGAAAGAAAAAAGUAAAAGGAAAGAAGCAGCAUUCAUUCUCCACCAUAUUCCCCAAAUGAGGUGCUGCUGUCGAUGUAUACAUUAUUUAGAGUUCAUUUUUGCAACAUGCUGAGAGACAAUCAAAGUCAUGUUAAUUGUGUUUUAACCCAUCUUGGUAAUAGAAUUUCUUCUAGUAGAUCAUGUAAAACAUCCUGAUGGGAAUACUUUGCAAUGGUGUAAUUUGUUCUUACUGUUUAUAUUUUCCUCUUUCUGUGAACACUUGUGUGCUUUCCAUAAUGCAAAGUGGCUUCUAUUAAAAAUAAAACUAAGCAUUGUUUUUGUUAAAAAAAUAAAAAAUUAAUAAUUUUUUAAAUUUCUGUUAAAAAUAAAUCUAAAUAAAGAUAAGCAUUUAUUGAA